UACGUAGGGUGCGAGCGUUAAUCGGAAUUACUGGGCGUAAAGCGUGCGCAGGCGGUUUUGUAAGUCUGUCGUGAAAUCCCCGGGCUCAACCUGGGAAUGGCAUUUGGGACUGCAAGGCUGGAGUGCGGCAGAGGAGACUGGAAUUCCUGGUGUAGCAGUGAAAUGCGUAGAUAUCAGGAGGAAUACCGAUGGCGAAGGCAGGUCUCUGGGCUGACACUGACGCUCAUGCACGAAAGCGUGGGGAGCAAACAGG
rnacentral:rRNA from 1 species